rnacentral:rRNA from 1 species
GACGAACGCUGGCGGCGUGCUUAACACAUGCAAGUCGAACGGAAAGGCCCUGCUUUUGUGGGGUGCUCGAGUGGCGAACGGGUGAGUAACACGUGAGUAACCUGCCCUUGACUUUGGGAUAACUUCAGGAAACUGGGGCUAAUACCGGAUAGGAGCUCCUGCUGCAUGGUGGGGGUUGGAAAGUUUCGGCGGUUGGGGAUGGACUCGCGGCUUAUCAGCUUGUUGGUGGGGUAGUGGCUUACCAAGGCUUUGACGGGUAGCCGGCCUGAGAGGGUGACCGGCCACAUUGGGACUGAGAUACGGACCAGACGCCUACGGGAGGCAGCAGUGGGGAGUAUUGCACAAUGGGCGGACGCCUGAUGCGGCGACGCCGCGUGCGGGAUGACGGCCUACGGGUUGUAAACCGCUGUCGCCGGUGACGAAGCGUGAGUGACGGUAAUGGGUAAAGAAGCACCGGCUAACUACGUG